AUGUCGUCGUUCGCCGGCGUAACUGUCCUCGACGGACACAACCAGUGCCAUUGCGAAAUGUCGGGCGUCUACGCCAGCGCCGGUGUGGACGCCGGGUACCACCUGCUCAUUGUCAAGGGCUACUCGCGUACCAAAGAGUUCUUCCCCACCGGCGAGAACAUCACCUCUGGUCAUUUUGUAGUAGGAGACCACGAUUGGUUACUCGAGUACUACCCCAAUGGCUUGGACCCGAGCUGCGCCGACUACAUUUCCGUCUAUCUGACCCUUCUCUAUGACUCCGAUGUCGACGAGGAGGAAGUGGAGGUGAAGUUCAGUUUCAGUCUCAUCAACCAGGUCGAGAAGCAGAUGCCAACGUACAUUCGUGGAACUAAAACUUACAGCUUCUCCAGCAGCGUUCCAAUGUGGGGCAUCGGCAAGUUCGUGAGAAGACGCACCCUUGAGCAGUCCCCGGAUCUGAUAUGUGAUUGUUUUACCAUCCGUUGCGACAUCAUGGUUUGCAAGGACCCCAGAAGUAAGGAUGAUGCCGGUGGCACCCUGCCUGACAUACACCAGCAUUUUAGCAAUCUCCUUGAUGAUAAGCUUGGUGCUGAUGUGGCAUUUGAGGUCGGCGGUGAGACGUUCGCCGCACACCGCUGCGUGCUCGCAGCCCGAUCCACAGUGUUCAGGGCACAACUCUUUGGUCCCAUGAAGGAGGGCACUGCCACGUCCAGCAUCAUACAGAUCAAAGACAUGGAAGCAAAAGUGUUCAGGGCUUUGCUUAGCUUCGUCUACACAGACUCAUUCCCUGAGAUGUACAAGGACAUCAUGGAGGAGAAUCACAUGAUAGAUUUUGAGGAACAAGAACAAGCAGAUGAAGAUGAAAUGUCAGAAGCUGUGGAACCAGGACAAGAUGAGCAUGAAAUUUGGCUGCAGGACUUGUUGGUAGCGGCAGACCGAUAUGAUCUCCAGCGGCUCAAGUUCAUCUGUGAAAAGCGGUUAUCUGAGCGGAUAGGUGUGAGCUCGGUGGCGUCCACUCUUGCUCUAGCUGAGAAGCAUCAUUGUCGUGGAUUGAAAGAGGCGUGCUUGGAGUUUAUCCAAGUCCAGUCUCCCUCGCGUUUGAAGAGAGUAAUGGCGACUAAUGGCUGGGAGCAUAUAAUCACGACAUAUCCCUCUGUUCUGAACGAGUUCAUCGCCAAGCUUAUUGCUUCAAGGCGGAAGUAA
rnacentral:rRNA from 1 species